rnacentral:rRNA from 1 species
GCAGGCUGCAACUCGCCUGCAUGAAGCUGGAAUUGCUAGUAAUCNCGGAUCAGCAUGCCGCGGUGAAUACGUUCCCGGGCCUUGUACACACCGCCCGUCACACCAUGAGAGUCGGGAACACCCGAAGUCCGUAGUCUAACCGCAAGGAGGGCGCGGCCGAAGGUGGGUCCGGUAAUUGGGGUGAAGUCGUAACAAGGUAGC